CUCCGAUUAGCUCAAUUGAUAGAGUGCGCCGUUUGGGGCGGUGAGGUUGAAGGUUUGAGUCCUUCAUUGGAGA
rnacentral:tRNA from 1 species